rnacentral:rRNA from 1 species
CAGCCGCCACGGGAAUACGGAGGGAGCUAGCGUUGUUCGGAAUUACUGGGCGUAAAGCGCACGUAGGCGGCUUUGUAAGUUAGAGGUGAAGGCCUGGAGCUCAACUCCAGAAUUGCCUUUAAGACUGCAUCGCUUGAAUCCGGGAGAGGUGAGUGGGAUUCCGAGUGUAGAGGUGAAAUUCGUAGAUAUUCGGAAGAACACCAGUGGCGAAGGCGGCUCACUGGACUGGUAUUGACGCUGAGGUGCGAAAGCGUGGGGAGCAAACAGGAUUAGAUACCCCCGUAGUCCCUGUCUCUUAUAC